AUUUGAGAAGAGGGUU
rnacentral:sRNA from 1 species